rfam:Salmo salar isolate Sally breed double haploid chromosome ssa07, whole genome shotgun sequence.
CUUAAUUGCUGCUGUAAGUCACUUUGGAUAAGAGUGUCUGCUAAAUGACUAAAA